rnacentral:rRNA from 1 species
CCUACGGGUGGCAGCAGUGAGGAAUAUUGGUCAAUGUGCGCGAGCCUGAACCCGCCAAGUAGCGUGAAGGAUGACUGCCCUACGGGUUGUAAACUUCUUUUAUAUGGGAAUAAACCGUUCCCCGUGUGGGAUUUUGUAUGUCCCAUAUGAAUAAGGAUCGGCUAACUCCGUGCCAGCAGCCGCGGUAAUACGGAGGAUCCGAGCGUUAUCCGGAUUUAUUGGGGUUAAAGGGAGCGUAGGUGGAUUGUUAAGUAAGUUGUGGAUGUUUGCGGCUCAACCGUAAAAUUGCAGUUGAACCUGGCAGUCGUGAGGACAGUAGAGGUGGGCGGGAUUCGGGGUGUAGCGGUGAAAUGCAUAGA